rnacentral:rRNA from 1 species
GACGAACGCUGGCGGCGUGCCUAAUACAUGCAAGUAGAACGCUGAAGAGAGGAGCUUGCUCUUCUUGGAUGAGUUGCGAACGGGUGAGUAACGCGUAGGUAACCUGCCUUGUAGCGGGGGAUAACUAUUGGAAACGAUAGCUAAUACCGCAUAACAAUGGAUGACGCAUGUCAUUUAUUUGAAAGGGGCAAUUGCUCCACUACAAGAUGGACCUGCGUUGUAUUAGCUAGUAGGUGGGGUAAUGGCUCACCUAGGCGACGACACAUAGCCGACUUGAGAGGGUGACCGGCCACACUGGGACUGAGACACGGCCCAGACUCCUACGGGAGGCAGCAGUAGGGAAUCUUCGGCAAUGGGGGCAACCCUGACCGAGCAACGCCGCGUGAGUGAAGAAGGUUUUCGGAUCGUAAAGCUCUGUUGUAAGUCAAGAACGGGUGUGAGAGUGGAAAGUUCACACUGUGACGGUAGCUUAACAGAAAGGGACGGCUAACUACGUG